rnacentral:rRNA from 1 species
AAACCGUUCAGGGGUAAACCUGAGAAACCCGAAAGAUCGACUGGGGAGAUUCAGCGUCAGCGGCGCUGGCUCGACAUAGUGUGCGAUGUCGUGGACUUCGGUCUCGAUGUCUCUUAUCGCUAUGCCGCGUCCGGUGUCGUCGUCGUGCACUUCUCCUCUAGUAGAACGUCGCGACCCGUUGGGUGCCGGUCUACGGCCCGAGGUGCAGCCUGUCACGUCGCUUCGGCGUAUGCGACAGACCCUCGGUCGCCCGGCCGGCUGCUCGGCGGUAGAACGCACGGUAUCUGGCCGCAAUUUUCGAAAUGCGUCGGGCCCACCGCAAGCGAGGUCAGUGUCCCGGUCCUACGGACUCUAGCGCCGUAACCGGGCCUGGCCAGCUGUUGGCAGGUGGAGUCCUCAGACGGGCAAAUCAUAAUGGUACCGGUCGGCGACGCUACUGCUUUGGGUACUCUCAGGACCCGUCUUGAAACACGGACCAAGGAGUCUAACAUGUGCGCGAGUCAUUGGGAUUGUAAAACCUAAAGGCGCAAUGAAAGUGAAGGUCGGCUUCGCGUCGACCGAGGGAGGAUGGGCCGCGUUAUGGCGCGGCUCCGCACUCCCGGGGCGUCUCGUUCUCAUUGCGAGAAGAGGCGCACCCAGAGCGUACACGUUGGGACCCGAAAGAUGGUGAACUAUGCCUGGUCAGGACGAAGUCAGGGGAAACCCUGAUGGAGGUCCGUAGCGAUUCUGACGUGCAAAUCGAUCGUCGGAACUGGGUAUAGGGGCGAAAGACUAAUCGA